GCUCUUUUCUCUUGAUACCAAACAUUUCCCCACAGGGUGACAUAAUAAUUCAACCUUGAGUUUCAAAGCUCUUAGCAGUACCAAUCUAUCAGAGGAGAGGAAGCUCUCAAGGUCACCAUGGAUAGGAUUACAAAGAUCAAGUUCCUGUUAUAACCAUUCCUUUUGGCUAAAUGAAAACACCAAGAAGCGAAUCUAUUGAAAAGGGGGAUUUCUUUGAAACAGCAGCUUUUUACCAUGGAAGGUGUAAACAUGAUAAUUCCAUGAGGAAAUCUCCUCACCACAGUAAUGGCACACUGCUCUCAUCUGAACUGAACUGUUCCAGCUGAUUGUCUAAUAGAGAAAGAGCAGUCUUUUCUACCCAGAGUGGAGGCUGCAGAAUCUUAGCAAAGCAAAGAGUGCAGCAGUCUAAGUUGAUGGGCAACAGAGAGAACUUGAAGGCUUUACUUUCAAGCCCUAAUCUCCCAGUGACAGCUCCUUGCUUCUUGGAGAUGUGCGGACAUAAUUACAAAUGAACAAGUCUACAUCUUAGAAGGUUAGCCAAGUGACAGAUGGGAAUAUAGGUGACAGUUCUCCAAUAUUGUUAGUGAAAUCCUAUUUGUAUAUAUUUACAUAUGUAGUACCAGA
rnacentral:lncRNA from 1 species